rnacentral:lncRNA from 1 species
AAAUCCGGCUCGUACGGCAAUGAAGCGGCAUAGGUCGGGCAGCAAUUGUUCUUCUCGUUGAAGAGGCUCACGUAACUGCACACGUGUGUGAGAGGGAGGUCAGUAGGGAGGGCGGGGCGUGAUGGGUCAUAUAACGCACGGCACAGGGAACAAACGUAAAACGCUGUACAUGGAUUACUAAACCUUUAUGCGUAAGACUAAAACCUGUUUCAAUGGCUUGAACCUGACCGGUCGUGCAGGGUUACACAACUCACCACACACGCUCCCGGCCUACUAGCACCAGCACCGCCUGCUACUCACCACACACGCUCCCCCAGGCAGAAUGUGUCCAGGGGUAUGGUGAGCUCCAAGCAAACCUGGGCGCCGACGGCCGACGUCAGAUUCCAGUUCAGGGGUGUGGCUGCGCACGGAAAGCCAGAGGGCGGAAACACACCUAUGAGUCGCAGGGCGUGCAGAUUACCGA